UAAACCGUGGCUCAGUUCAGAUCGUAGGCUGCAACUCGCCUACGUGAAGGAGGAAUCGCUAGUAAUCGCAGGUCAGCAUACUGCGGUGAAUACGUUCCCGGGCCUUGUACACACCGCCCGUCACACCAUGGAAGUUGGCCACGCCCGAAGCCGUUACUCCAACCCUUGUGGAGGAGGACGUCGAAGGUGGGGCUGAUGACUGGGGUGAAGUCGUAACAAGGUAUCCGUACCGGAAGGUGCGGAUGGAUCACCUCCUAACA
rnacentral:rRNA from 1 species